rnacentral:misc_RNA from 1 species
GUUCAUAGGAAAAUGUAUUUAUUGUAGUAUAUCCAUUUCAAAAUCUACCGCCGGCGAAUUCUUCAUCUAAUACGUCCAUUCAAUACGUCCAUUCGCCACGUGGAACUUCCGGCCCAAAACCCGAAAAAAUUCUGGACCCCACAUCCACCCAGUGACCUAUCCUUCUAUAAACCCGCUCUCACUGCCUCCGUCUACUUCUCUCCCCAGAAACGAUCGCGUUAGCCGUCGUUUCCUCUGCGAAUUUAAUUUAUUUAAUUUAUUCUAUUUUAAUUUAAUUUCAACAGUCAUCUCUGGCUCUGCUCUAUUUCCGUUGCUUCGACCUCUCUUAAUAUUCCCGACGAUAUGCAUUUCUGAUCAUCCGAUCUCCCUCGUGAUUCGCGUCGACUUUUAUCUUACCCGCCAGGUCCCUUUUUUUUCUUUUUCUUAAAUUUUGUUUAUUUUUAGUUCUAUUGAUUUUGAGUUGAAUUCGGGUUUUUCAUGAGAAAUGUGGUGUUUUUAUAGGGUGCAUUGUUGUUGUUGAGGCGCAAUUGAGUGUUUGUUCGAGUGGAAUUGAACGGAUAGACAGAGAGAAGUAGUUUGGUGCCUCCAAUUGCGUGCUGAAGCCGGGGAGAUGUCGGGCCCACUGGAUCGCUUCGCGAGACCUUGCUUUGAGGGAUUCUCAGGAAGUGAUGAAAGAAGAGAGAGAAAAUCUGAUUUUGAAAACUCUGAGGAUGAGAGGCGAACUAGAAUUGGAUCAUUGAAAAAGAAAGCAAUUAAUGCAUCCACUAAAUUCAGGCAUUCUCUGAAGAAAAAGAGCAGUAGAAGAAAGAGUGAUGGUAGAGUCAGUUCUGUUUCGAUUGAGGAUGUUCGGGAUGCUGGAGAACUGCAGGCUGUUGAUGAAUUUCGUCAGGCAUUGAUCAUGGACGAAUUACUACCAGAAAGACAUGAUGAUUAUCAUAUGUUGUUGAGGUUCUUGAAAGCAAGGAAGUUUGACAUUGAAAAAGCAAAACACAUGUGGGCCGACAUGCUUCAAUGGAGGAAGGAAUUUGGUGCUGAUACUAUUAUGGAGGAUUUUGAAUUUAAAGAGUUAAAUGAAGUUUUGAUGUAUUACCCCCAUGGUAAUCAUGGUGUGGAUAAAGAAGGGAGACCUGUUUACAUCGAAAGAUUGGGAAAAGUUGAUCCUCAUAAGCUUAUGCAAGUUACAACUAUGGAUCGUUAUGUAAAAUACCACGUGCGGGAGUUUGAGAAAAGCUUUGCAAUAAAAUUUCCUGCUUGUACCAUUGCUGCAAAGAGACAUAUAGAUUCAAGCACAACCAUUUUAGAUGUUCAUGGCGUGGGUCUUAAGAACUUCACCAAGAAUGCACGGGAUCUAAUUAUGCGACUGCAAAAGAUUGAUGGUGACAAUUACCCUGAGACACUCCACCAAAUGUUCAUCAUCAAUGCUGGUCCUGGAUUUAGACUGCUAUGGAACACUGUGAAGACUUUUCUAGAUCCUAAAACCACCUCCAAGAUUCACGUUCUUGGAAACAAAUAUCACAGUAAAUUGCUUGAGAUGAUUGAUGCCAGUGAGUUGCCAGAAUUUCUUGGUGGUACCUGUACCUGUGCAGAUCAGGGAGGUUGCCUUCGGUCAGAUAAGGGACCAUGGAAAAACCCAGAAAUAUUGAAGAUGGUUCUUAAUGGUGAAGCACGGCGUGCCCACCAGGUUGUAAAAGUUUUAAACAGUGAGGGGAAGGUUAUUGCAUAUGCUAAGCCACGUUACCCUGUGCAUGUCAGAGGUAGUGAUACAUCCACUGCUGAGUCAGGAUCUGAAGCUGAAGAUAUUGCUUCCCCCAAAGCACUGAAGAGUUAUUCACAUCUUCGACUGACUCCUGUUCGCGAAGAAGGUAAGGUGGUUGGAAAGGCAAGCUAUGCUGGUAACUUCUCAGGGUAUGAUGAAUAUGUUCCUAUGGUUGACAAAGCUGUUGAUGCUGGUUGGAAACAGCAAGCAUCCAUUCAGAGGCCUUCUGUUUCCAAAGCAACACUUGCUCUGCCUGAAACUCCGAAGAGUCCAGAAGGAAUUCACGUUAGAAUAUUUGUAGCAGUUAUGGCUUUCUUCGUCACACUUUUCACUCUUCUACGAACUUUGGUGUUCCGUGUAACUAAGAGGCUUCCCAAUGCUUCAUCUGAUGAUCAAAGUUCUCCUGAAGUUUUCUUGGAGGCAACACAGGAAGAGUUCCGUCCCCCUUCACCAACUCCAGCUUUUACUGAGGCAGAUCUCCUCUCUUCUGUACUGAAAAGGCUAGGUGAGCUAGAGGAGAAAGUGGAUACACUUAGAGCAAAGCCAACAGAAAUGCCUUAUGAGAAAGAGGAAUUACUGAAUGCCGCUGUUUGUCGUGUGGAUGCCCUAGAAGCAGAGCUAAUUGCUACCAAAAAGGUAUAAUUGCUCGAUUACAGAAUAUCAUGUGUGAUCACCUUGUUAUGGCUCUUUCACUCUUAAGUGGUGAUCAUAAUGUGCAAGCCCAUAUGUAUCAGCUGUCAUUUAAGUUUUUAUGUAAAGUAUUGGAUUUUUUUUUGGAAGUUUUCAUACUAAUUACAAAUUAUGUCUGCCUCAUGAUGAAUCUAGUGACUGUUUAGGAACCUGGUGACAAAUCUUGUUUCAUUAUGUUUAAUCAGUACCUUGGCUUUGUUAGGUUCCAAGUGAUUUGUUUGAAAAGCAACAAUGCUUACAUUUUCACCUGCUGGUAAACACUUCACUGUGAUCUUAUCACUUAUCAUAAGUGACUAACGUUUAAAAUGCCAGGAAAAUCUGUUUUGAAACCAAUGUUAUACAAUGAAGGGAACUGCUAUUGGCUUAAUAUUCUAGCUGUCUGAUUUCUAGGAAUAUAAAAAGGAUUUAUGGUUAAAUUUCCCAUAUCUUAUUCCUUCAUUGAUGGGCAUUUUUGCGCCUUUUUCAUGUUUGAUGUUGCAGUUGUGUUUUGUAUCUUUUGCACGGUAUUGGGGCAACUUUUCCUUUUUUGCAUUAUUUUCUGUAUUUAAGUUACUGGAUCAAGGGGAGCAUCAAUAUUUACUCCAUUUUCUAAAAGAGGCAUAUGUUGUUGAUCAUUUGUACUUCCUGAGCAGGCUUUACAUGAAGCUUUAAUGAAGCUAGAAGAUUUGCUCGUGUACGUAGACAGUCAAGAAGAAGCCAAGUACCGGAAAAAGAAGUUUUGCUGGUAAGAUGUUUUGCCUAUGGAGGGAGACUUUGGUGACUUUCUGGCUGGCACAAAAAUUUGUCUUUUCUGUACGAAGUGUUUUAACAUACAAGCACAGAUGUUGGUCGUGCUGAGGACACUUUCUAAUUGAUGUGAGUUUCUGUUGAUUACGAAGGAAAAGACUUUGUUAUAAGGAAAUUAUUGUAUGACCGCCAUUGUUCUUAAAUCAUGUGUGCGUGGUUUGGUUUUCCAAAUUUAGUGGUUUUUCCUUAUAUUUUCUAAUAUGAAUGGACUUGAUAAUUGUCAAGGGCUUUCGCAUAUUGAUAGCUUUUGCAUGUCAUCAUCUAGGUGCUUAGUUUUGGUACAAUGGUUUUUCAGCAGCUGCCCAAUUCAAUCGCUCGAGUCCCUGUUACUAAAUAGACGGUUGUGUUUGUUUUACAAUUGUAGAAUUUGAACUUGCUGAAGGUGAUCAUGUUAUCUACAAGCAUCCUGAUUCAUUUCUACAAUUCUACUAAAGAUUUUGGAAGAAAAUAUUCUAUUUUGUUAGUUCCUUUCGAUAAUUGUGCGAGACAGCGAUGACAUAUAGUCUAGCAAGACAAGCAUGCUCUGGAAGAACUUUGAAGUGGGGAAAUUAGGCCUGCUCUGAAUGAAAGUAUGGUGUUUGAUUUCGAGUCUCUAGGAUUAUUGUUGGACUGCUAAUGGUGUGAUCCACCAAAACAAAGCCGAAAUGAAAUAAUGAGUCUUUAAAGUGGUGUGAGUUGUACAAUUAUGCAAAGGAAAGCAAAAAAAUUACCAUGUGUAUAAUGUACAAAGGUUUGAGUCGAGUGUUAUACAAAGCAGAAAAUGAUUUUGCGUAACAACCAACAUAAGGCAAUGAAGUUUAUAUUAAUCGCCAUAUGUGUCUGACUGUAAGUUCUCAAAUUAUUUUUUGGAGCGCAGCAGAAAAAAUCAGAACUUUUCACCCUCACUAAGCGUUAUGGAUUCUUCAGUCAAAAUCCGAAAAACUGAAAUAUGAAAGAACUUGAUUAGGAUUGUCAUGUAUAGCAAUUAUAAAGAACAUCUGAGAUAUGUCAACGUUUGCAUACCUUCUUCUUCUUCUUCUUUUUCUUUCCUCUCUUUCUUUUCCUCUUCUUCUAUUUUGUUCUUCCUUCACAUGGUAGUAUCAUUGUUUUGCCCUUCUUUCUUUUUUCUUUUUUACUUAUUUUCUUCUUUUUCUCUCCUUUCUCUCUGUUCUCCAAUUCUUCAGACCUGCUGUUUGGGUAUUCUUCUAUUCUGUUCAAUUUUUUUUAUCUUAAUUAAUUUAUUAGAUAUGUUUCUUAUUAAUUUGUGUUUAAUUUACAUGGGUAUUGUGAUAUGCAUUUUGCUAGAUGAGUAUUGCAAAUUUGUGAUAUGAUUUAUGUUUAGGCUAAUAUCAUAACAAUUUUAUUUUAAUUCCCCCUAAUUGAUUAGGCUAAAUGAAAAUUCGAAGCUCUCUUGCUCACCUCACUUCAAAAAGGCUCUCGCCUUUUGCCUAAGGCCAUAGGGUAUCCUGU